UGGCGGCGGAGGGAGGCG
rnacentral:misc_RNA from 1 species